CAUCACUGGCCACUUUUGGAGCUCUCUGAUGUGUUCUUGCUGGAGGCAUUAAAAGAUCUAAGGCUGGAGGACUCAUUUCAAUCUCUUUAAAAUCAGUUCCCCUGAUGUGUUGUUUCUACUACGGGUAAAAAAAAAAAAAAAAAAAAAAGGAACUUUCAGCCUGAGAAACAGAAAGGGGAGAUUUUUUAAAUGAUGCUUAGGAGAAAAUCAUCUCCCUGGAAAGGAAGAUCAUGCCUGUGCUUGAGAAGAAAAGGGGAAGUGUGAGGGGAAGAGUAGCGUUGUGUAGAGUCCCCGGUAAGGCAGAAAUAAGUGAUUUUUGCACGUCGCGGUGUCUACAUCCCCACAUUGAAGCAUGAUUCCAACAUGGUGCAAAACUUAGGUGAGCUGGUAUCACGAUGUUGACUUAUAAGUCAAUAUACAUCAAAGAGAAGUAUUCCUUGUCAGAUACAAGCCGCUUGGAGGUGGGAGAUGUCUAAAGAACCCUCAAACGCAAAAUGUUAGUGAAGUUGCUAUUAACCCUCAAUUUUAAUCCUCAAAUUUAUUUUGAUAUGAUUUGGUUUUCCCUCCCUGAGCAGUUUAGCUGGCCCAGCAGCGCAUGUUCAAGUCAGAUUUAUACCUGUAACUGGGGCAAGCACUUCAGCUAAGAGGUUGCUCUUAUCUAGAGCAAUCUCUCCCUCCUUAAAGACCAGACAGAAAUCUCAUGCAGGCAGUCUUUCAUGAGAGAGAUAAAGAGAAACUUCUCAUAUGCACUUAUACAUGCUUUUAUGGAAGAAGAAACUAGGGUUUAAGGAUGACAAAGGUCAAGGUAGGUGGUUCCAUGGAUGUAAUGAAACUCCUGGCCUCCGCCUGACAGCCUACAGGAAAGUGUUCAAUAUUGUCCGACGGACCAAGCCCUGGACUUUCAUCCAGGGGGUGAGUUCUCUCCUAGGUCUCCAACUGAUUUUAGCAUCAUUUGGCUCAAGUCUCUCAGCCAUUUUACACCUUUGCUCAUCUUUUGGGAAACCCUCUGCAACCAAGAGAUGAUCGCUCCAGUUUUUUCCAUUGCGCACACCAGAGCCCUGAGCAGAGGAGAAAGAAACAGGUUUCAAAGCUUACUAGUUCCUUUCUGGACUAACCCGAGCUAGCAAUCAGCUGUGGCAUACAGAUGAAAACACCUGAGGGGUCACUGGGGUUCAGCUGGGUGUCCUGUUAUUCCACUAAUAGGCUGGGAAACAAAAACAAAACGACCCUCAACGUUAAGUGAUGCAGAGGAGUCCAUUCGCCUGCAAGGGCCUGAGAUGACAAAUAAAGUAGUUCUGGCCAGCCUGAGCUAAACACAGCAGUGUGCUUGUUCCUGCCUUGCUGAGGGGCAUUUCUGCAGAGGAGACGAGCUGUGCUGCCAAGGAGAGUACCCGUGCCCCAUCUUUUCCCCUCUGGAGCAGCCAAGUGGGGGUGAGAGCAGCUAACGAGGGAGGUGAGCUGCCUGCCUGCUUGCUGCCCUGACUGGCUGCCUGUACAGAGGCUGCCGGGGAGCCGGACCGUGCCAGCCAGGUUUUUGCAAGUGUGUGAAAAUUAACAAAUCUCACUCUGAGCUGGAAAGGGCAGAUAAUUGAGAGAAUUAAAAUUAAAAAAAAAAAAAAAAAAAAAAAAAAAA